rnacentral:rRNA from 1 species
UGGAAUUCGCCCUUAGAGUUUGAUCCUGGCUCAGAACGAACGCUGGCGGCAGGCCUAACACAUGCAAGUCGAGCGAGGUAGCAAUACCUAGCGGCGGACGGGUGAGUAACGCGUGGGAACGUACCUUUUGCUACGGAAUAGCCCUGGGAAACUGGGAGUAAUACCGUAUACGCCCUGAGGGGGAAAGAUUUAUCGGCAAAAGAUCGGCCCGCGUUGGAUUAGGUAGUUGGUGGGGUAAUGGCCUACCAAGCCGACGAUCCAUAGCUGGUUUGAGAGGAUGAUCAGCCACACUGGGACUGAGACACGGCCCAGACUCCUACGGGAGGCAGCAGUGGGGAAUCUUAGACAAUGGGGGCAACCCUGAUCUAGCCAUGCCGCGUGAGUGAUGAAGGCCUUAGGGUUGUAAAGCUCUUUCAGUGGGG